CCUGAGGUCUUCUUGUCUUCCCAUCAAUUUCUGCCAUUUUGUGCAUUCCUGUGCACACUUGCAGGCUGCCACAUAGGCCCAUCCUGCUCCUUGACAGCUCUGAACAAUGCCACCUACUGAAGUCCCACCUACUCUUGCACACCCAUGAUCACACAGAGCAGGAAGCCAGAGGAGCAGAGUACAAGCAGCUCAUGACUGCCUGCAGGUGUCAUUCCCCACCGUUCCUGGACAGCCAACAGCCUUUGUGACGUUUCAGACUCCUGCCCACUCCCCUGCCUGCCCACAGAGAGACGGAUCUCUUCCUCUCCACUCUCCUCUUUCCGCACCUCUGAGUGUCUGUGCUGUCACCAGGGGCAGGUGGCUGGAAGAAGAGGGCCUUUCUCCAUGGAUUUCCACCGGUUCCUGGUGGCCAUGCUGCUCCCUGUGGGCUGGGCUCUUCAGCAAUCACCAGAUACAGUUGUCCGGGUGGGAGACACCGUCACUCUGGAAUGUUCUGCAACAGCAAAAAAUUUCAUAUACAUGUACUGGUACAAGUUACCCAUGGAGAAGAAUGCCAGCAUGCAGUUGGUGGUAUAUUCAGUGGAAAGCCGCAAAGCAGACAUUGAGAAGGAAUUCCAAAAUCGCUUCCAGAGUAAUGGGACUAGGAACAACCAUUUAUCUGUGAAGAUACAGCAUGCCCUACUCAAUGACACAGGCACAUAUUUCUGUGCUGAACAAGAUCCACAUGUUAGCCCUGGAACAGUCUCCAGACAUGGUGAUAAAAGAAGGCCAGUCUGUGAAUCUGGAAUGUUCCAAGAAGAAAUCCUCCAGCUCAGCUAUGUACUGGUACAUGCUGCCUUCAGAGAAGAAUUCCAGUCUGACCCAGUUGGUUUAUGCAUACGAAGGUGUUAA